rnacentral:ncRNA from 1 species
GUCGUUGUGGACAAGGAUUCGUGGUUUCUAUGCUGAACCAUUAUAACAUUUGAACUAUUUACUAUUUACUAUUGUUGGAUAUAUUACUAUGCUUCCGCUACACUUUAAAACAAUAACAUGUUUUGAACACCUUUUGUAUUGAACGGAUGGUUUUCUUUUAUCUUACUUAAUACUAUAUGCAUGUUCAAUAUAAUUGGUGGCUUGAUCCUGGUCAGUCACGCUCCCAAGCGGUGAUACUCCGCAGGUGGAUUUUGGGGUGUGUGACAUUGGCCUUCUGGAUCGGAGUAAUGAUUAAGCAGGGACAGUCGGGGGCAUUCGUAAUUUCAUAUUCAGAGGUGAAUUCUUGGAUUUAUGAAGAACGAACAACUGCGAAAGCAUUUGCCAAGGAUGUUUUCAUUAAUCAAGAACGAAAGUUGAGGGGCUCGAAGACGAUCAGAUACCGUCCUAGUCUCAACCAUAACGCUACAGAUGCGACCAGGGAUCAGCCGGAUGUUGCUUUUAGGACUCCGUGGCACCUAUGAGAAAUCAAAGUUUUUGGGUUCCG